GGCGAUGAGCGCAGGACCGGAGCUGUGGGCUGUGGAGGAGGAGGAGGAGAGGAGGAAGAGGGCCCAGCCCGAGUCCGGGCGGGUCUGCGGACUCUGAUACCCGCCGCCGCCGCUGAUCUCCGGACAGGACUGCCGCUGAGCAUCCUCUCCUGUUGCAUGGGUGUUUGCGUAGGAUACGUAGCUAUUGCUGCAUUUGGGCAUGAACCGGAUAUCUGAGUAAACAAGAGCCUCAGCAGCUGGAGACGAGCAGACUGAUCUGGAUUUCACCAAAAUACUGAAAAAAGCAGCUGGUAUGGCUGAGAAGUCGUUAGAGCAGGGCUCGGUCUCCAUCCCCAUGGAGGAGACCAAGCGGUCGGGGGGAGCUCCUCCAGACGCAGCCUUGCUGACCCACCUGAAGAAAGUGGAGAAUCAUAUCACAGAGGCUCAGAGGUUCUCUCACCUGCCUCGGCGCUCAACAGUGGACCUGGAGUUCACAGAGCUCUCCUACACCAUCCACGAAGGACCCUGCUGGAGGAGGAGAGGCUGUAAGGCUCUUCUGAAGUGUCUGUCGGGGAAGUUUUGCAGCCGAGAGCUGAUCGGGAUCAUGGGGCCCUCAGGGGCCGGCAAGUCCACCCUGAUGAACAUCCUUGCUGGAUACAGAGAGACAGGCAUGAAAGGUCAGAUUCUAGUAAACGGGCGACCCCGAGACCUCCGCACCUUCAGGAAGAUGUCCUGUUACAUCAUGCAAGAUGACAUGCUGCUGCCGCACCUCACCACACGGGAGGCUAUGAUGGUCUCGGCCAAUCUUAAACUUAACGAGAGCAUGGACGUUAAGAAGGAACUGGUAAAUGAAAUCCUCACAGCUCUCGGCCUGCAGGAGUGUGCUCACACUCGUACACACUCUCUCUCUGGAGGACAGUGUAAACGACUGGCAAUCGCACAGGAGCUGGUGAACAACCCGCCUGUCAUGUUCUUUGAUGAGCCAACCAGUGGCCUGGACAGUGCAUCCUGUUUCCAGGUGGUUUCUCUGAUGAAGUCUCUUGCUCAGGGAGGAAGAACAAUCAUCUGUACCAUCCACCAGCCCAGUGCAAAACUGUUCGAGAUGUUCGACAAGCUGUAUAUUAUGAGUCAGGGGCAGUGCAUAUAUAAGGGCACAGUUCCGUACCUCAUCCCCUACCUGAAGAACCUCGGCCUCCACUGCCCCACCUACCACAACCCUGCAGACUUCAUAAUUGAAGUGGCAUCGGGAGAGUAUGGAGAUUUGAACCCUGUGCUUUUUGAGGCUGUGCAGGGCGGCAUGUGUUCAGAAGGGGACAAGAAGAACUCCAGUGACAAAACUGACCCCACAACAUCCUGCCCCACUCAGUGUAACAGUGAUUCAGGAUACAUUGAGAAACACACUUUUACCACAAGUACCUUUACACAGUUCUGCAUCCUCUUCGAAAGGACCUUCAUCACUAUAUGCAGAGAUACGGUGUUGACCCAUCUGAGGGUGAUGUCGCACCUGUGUAUUGGCGUUCUGAUUGGUCUGCUGUAUCUGAACAUCGGGAACGACGCCAGCAAAGUCUUCAACAACACUGGCUUCCUCUUCUUCUCCAUGCUGUUCCUCAUGUUUGCUGCACUUAUGCCUACCGUUCUGACAUUUCCUCUGGAGAUGUCUGUGUUUAUGAGGGAGCAUCUGAACUACUGGUACAGCUUGAAGGCUUACUACUUGGCCAAGACCAUGGCUGACAUUCCAUUCCAGAUCAUAUGUCCUAUAAUGUACUGUAGUAUAGUGUACUGGAUGACAGAGCAGCCUCCGGAAGCAGGAAGAUAUCUGCUGUUCAUGGCUCUGUCCACCUCCACUGCCCUGGUGGCCCAGUCUCUGGGGCUUCUCAUCGGCGCCGCCUCCACCUCCCUGCAGGUGGCCACAUUUGUAGGCCCAGUCACAGCCAUUCCGGUCCUGCUGUUCUCGGGCUUCUUUGUCAACUUUGACACCAUCCCCAAAUACCUGCAGUGGAGCUCCUAUGUCUCUUAUGUCAGGUACGGUUUUGAGGGUGUCAUCCUGUCCAUCUACGGCAUGAACCGAUCUGAGCUGGAGUGUCCAAGCAUGGUGUGUAAGUUCCAGAAGCCUGAGGAAGUGCUGCAGUUGCUGGAUGUGGAGGACGCAAAGCUCUAUGUGGACUUCAUGGUGCUGGGAGUCUUCUUCUUAAUCCUCCGGCUGGCCACCUAUCUUGUGCUGCGCUACAAAGUCAAAUCUGAACGUUAGGGCUUGAGAUCAACUACCGCACUCCUUUAAAUGAAUCAUAACUACAACUUAUUUUGUUUUUUCUGGCACAAACGCACACAUUCUAAUUUACAUCUCGUUUCUUUUGCUGUGGAGGCAAACCUGUGCAAUGUUCACCUUCUUCUCAAACCAAUCGAAUGGUUUCCAUGUUGUUUUUUGCACAUGAACAUUCCUCAUAGGUUUUGAUUACUUGAAGAAUCACUAUAUGAGUUCAUUUUAAACAGAUCUGAGAGCAAUCUGAGGGUCAAUAGCUGCCAUUAGAAAUCUGUGAAGUUUUUUUAAGUCUAUUUAAGUUAAUCGUCACUUUUAUUUUUAAAUGAUUCCAUGCCAUUGUUGUAUAGAUGCAUCGUAAUAUGAUGUCCAAAGUUCUACUGUAGCUAAGAUGGUAAGCAUGAUGGCUCUGAACGGAGCUCAAAACUGUCCAAACCGACAAUCCCUCAACUGCUCUGUAAAGCAUACGGACUGUCCUAAUGUGAACAGCCUCAGCUAUUUUUCCAACAGAAAACACACACAUAGAGAGCGAGUGCCUGUCAAACAGCCAAAAGAUAAAAAGAGGUUCCUCAAGCUCCAUCUGAGCUUCCACUCGGAAUUCUUCUCUUGGCUCGCUUUUGAAAGCCGGGCGAAGACAAGGACUCGCAGGGAAUCUGAUUUCAGGUUACACCCACAGAGCAUCGUACUGUCCUUCUUCUGGAUAUUAAUUGCAGACUGUGAGGAAAAAAGUCUAACCAGCAUAUCUGCAGUCCCAUCUUUGUCUGUUCAACAACAGAGCCUUCCCAGUACUCAAACACAUAAAAGCAUCAACAGAAGAAUCUACGGUAGAAAUUCACUUUUCGCACAUAAACACAUUUAUUAACACAAUAUGGACACAUUAUCUGUUAUUCUACCAAGUCCAUCUAUGGCAGGGGUGAGCAACGGGGUCCGGAGUCUUGCACAGUUUGCUUAUUUCACUGCUCUGUGAAUACUGUAUGUUUAGACUGUCCAAAAAUCAGCCCAUAUCUGAUUUAUGGCCUACUUAGAUUGUAUCCAAUCUAAUGUAUCACGGUCGCCUCCCAGCACUGGGUCAUGGGUUCAAGUCCCUAUCUGUGUGGAGCUUCCAUGUUGUCUUUGUGUCCAGAUGAGAUUCCUCAGAGGACUCCAGUUUCCUCCCACAAAAACAUGGAGAUCAGUCGCUGACAAUGUGGGACAGAGGUGUGGAUGCUGGACGAACUCUUUUAGCUGAACAGCAACAUCAGCAGCAACUGUAUAUCUGUGCUGUCACCCUGUAUUUUUCGACUGCCACUCUUUGAAAUCAUGCAGGUUUUGGAGGGCAUGAAGGCCAAUGGAUAUGGGUGAUCUUGUGCUUUAUGUUUUUUUGUUUUUUUUUUACAUUUUUUCUUCUCUCAUGGAUGGAUUGCUUGGCGCCACCACUACAUGAUACCGUUUUUCAUAUGCAAAGCGAAUCUUGCUGCCUACUUGGACUUGAUGCUAAAGACUGCGCUAAGGAAUGUGAACUUUGGAAUAUUGUAUAACAAACUCUGGAUAUGACUUCUCUUUUAUUCAGGAUUGAGAAAAAAAAUACAAGAAGAUGGACAGUGGACCCUCUCCUCUUUAACCUUAACCUUGAGCUCUCUCCAAUAUUAUAUAAAUAUCCGCUUUUAUGACCUUGUUUCCUUGUGUGUGAGUAAAUGUAUGUCCAUGUGGAACUGGGACUUCUUCUGGGUCUGUGUCUCUCUUUGCUUCGAAUGAGACUUACUGUUUCGCCCUCUGCUUUCUGAAGUGGGGAUCAUGCAAUCAAGGCUGCAUCAUUUUUGCAGUCAAAGAACCCACCAGUGUCCAACAGUGGGGUGACCUGGACUGUCCUAAAUGCCUGCUAUUGGACACCAAAAUGCUGGACGGACAGUGUGUGCCUCCUAACUGGUGUAGUCUGUUGUAUACUCUUUGACGUUGGACGUUAUCGCUUGUUACGAGCACCUCCCUGUACAUCUAACUCUAACCGCUUUUACAUGUUAGUCAGCCUCCUCAAUACUGCAAUGCAAUGCGAACGAACAUUUUACUUAAUGACGGACUUGAUGAUGUUGAUGAUGAUGAUGAUGAUGUUACUCUACGGACAAUGUUUUAUGAUUCCUGCCAUGUGGUAUGUCUGCUCAUCUGCCAUGUGGUAUGUCUGCUCAUAUACUGAACUAUACGUAAUAACCCAAGAAUAUAUACACGACCAAGUUAGAUGUGCAA